rnacentral:lncRNA from 1 species
GGCAGACAACACUCUUUGGCCAGCAGAUCACCCUUCUCAGUGAAAGCACGCUAGAGCAAGCUCCUGUGUUCCAGAUCCUCUGAUGGAACCUACUGUGUUCCCAGAGCCCUGAGGACUUGAGUUUGAAGUGCCACUGCCACCCCAACACAGAGCACCACUGCCACCUCUACAUCGGGCAACACUGUCACCUUUACAACAGGGUUUGUAUUAGGCUACUGCUGUUUUCCCCUAAAGAAAUAUUCUCACAAAGUAUUUUUGCUCUAAGUUCUCCAGGCAGCUGUGGACUUGAUGGUUGUGAAUUCACCUGUGGAUCAUCUCCUCCAUAAGCUCUCCUCGGGUCGGUUUGCAUUUUCAUAGCUAUGCUCCAGCCUCCAUUGCUGAAAAGUUAGAUGUAAAGUCUAUGGGAGAAAUAUGGCAGUGAGUCUGGGUCCAGAGAAGCCUUGCUCUUUGAAGUUAAGGACUAUGAAGAUUCAUACUGCUAAGUGUUCAAAGUUUAUGAAUGAAGAGACUGUCAGGCUGAGUUCCAGAAAGGCCAAAUGUUCUGCUUGUAACACAGCUACACGGGGGACAGAACUACGUGACUCAUGGUCUCCAGCUUCCCAGGUCAGUUGCUGGCUUCUCUGCAGAGGACUGUGAAAAAUUCGA